CGCUGGCGGCAGGCCUAACACAUGCAAGUCGAGCGGUAGAGAGAAGCUUGCUUCUCUUGAGAGCGGCGGACGGGUGAGUAAUGCCUAGGAAUCUGCCUGGUAGUGGGGGAUAACGUUCGGAAACGGACGCUAAUACCGCAUACGUCCUACGGGAGAAAGCAGGGGACCUUCGGGCCUUGCGCUAUCAGAUGAGCCUAGGUCGGAUUAGCUAGUUGGUGAGGUAAUGGCUCACCAAGGCGACGAUCCGUAACUGGUCUGAGAGGAUGAUCAGUCACACUGGAACUGAGACACGGUCCAGACUCCUACGGGAGGCAGCAGUGGGGAAUAUUGGACAAUGGGCGAAAGCCUGAUCCAGCCAUGCCGCGUGUGUGAAGAAGGUCUUCGGAUUGUAAAGCACUUUAAGUUGGGAGGAAGGGUUGUAGAUUAAUACUCUGCAAUUUUGACGUUACCGACAGAAUAAGCACCGGCUAACUCUGUGCCAGCAGCCGCGGUAAUACAGAGGGUGCAAGCGUUAAUCGGAAUUACUGGGCGUAAAGCGCGCGUAGGUGGUCUGUUAAGUUGGAUGUGAAAUCCCCGGGCUCAACCUGGGAACUGCAUUCAAAACUGACUGACUAGAGUAUGGUAGAGGGUGGUGGAAUUUCCUGUGUAGCGGUGAAAUGCGUAGAUAUAGGAAGGAACACCAGUGGCGAAGGCGACCACCUGGACUAAUACUGACACUGAGGUGCGAAAGCG
rnacentral:rRNA from 1 species